AGGCUCAGGCAAGUUCAGCAAUCUGUCCAGGGUCACUAAGGUGUCUGCAGCACAACAGCCAACACUUCUGGAGCACAUGGCCCUGCAGUGAAGGAUUCUGGAGCUCACAUUUGUCUGAAGGGGAUCCGAGGAGGUUCUGUCUUGUUGAAUGUGAUUGAGAAGCUCAGAGUAGAUGUAGACGCCGAGCUGGAGGAGAGCCUGUGCCUCAUCCUGAGAUCCUGGCCAAGUCACUGUCUAUCAUACCAGGCUUGUGUAACAUCACCCUGGAGUGCAGGGCUCCAGGAGCCACAGAGGACCUGAAUGUGACUUGGGAGAGCAAGGACCUCCUCAGAGAGCUGGAGCACAGAGAAACACGAGGACCAGCCCCUAACCCCUGGAUCCUGGCUGUGAACCUGCCCUGAGCCACGCACUCCCUGUGGUCGCCUGGAUCAGGAACCUACCUGGGGUUCAUGUAGACUGGACAUGGCUCUCCUUCGCAAGAUAUUCUUGGAGUCAUUGCAUUUGUGCUGUUGAUCCUGAGAGCUGGGCUAUACCUCUGGAAGAAACGUGGGAAGAAGAAGAAGAAAGAUGAGGAGGAAGAAGAGGAGGAGGAGCAGAAGGAGGAGGAGCGGGAGGAGGCAGGAAUAGGCAGGUUGCAUUUCUCCAUCGAGGCCCAGAUAUCUCCCCUCCCCCACUAGAAUCUGGGUUCUCUUUCUCCUGAAAGAAUGUCAUUGUUUAGCUAUAUGAAUAACCCUAGAUAUAGCAUUGAGUUAACAUGUCCAAGAUAUUUGUUACUGGAAAAAACUGAACAGCAAUGCAUGGUAUGAUUUAAUUUUUGUAAAAGUGUAUAGAUAGGUAGAUAGAAAGAUAAGCACAGAAUAAAAUCUAUACUACAUGACAGAUUA
rnacentral:sRNA from 1 species